rnacentral:rRNA from 1 species
GACGAACGCUGGCGGCGUGCUUAACACAUGCAAGUCGAACGGCAAGGCCCUGCUUUUGUGCUGUGCUCGAGUGGCGAACGGGUGCGUAACACGUGAGUAACCUGCCCUUGACUUUGGGAUAACUUCAGGUAACUGGGGCUAAUACCGGAUAGGAGCUCCUGCUGCAUGGUGGGGGUUGGAAAGUUUCGGCGGUUGGGGAUGGACUCGCGGCUUAUCAGCUUGUUGGUGGGGUAGUGGCUUACCAAGGCUUUGACGGGUAGCCGGCCUGAGAGGGUGACCGGCCACAUUAGGACUGAGAUACGGCCCAGACUCCUACGGGAGGCAGCAGUGGGGAAUAUUGCACAAUGGGCGGAAGCCUGAUGCAGCAACGCCGCGUGCGGGAUGACGGCCUUCGGGUUGUAAACCGCUUUCGCCUGUGACGAAGCGUGAGUGACGGUAAUGGGUAAAGAAGCACCGGCUAACUACGUG